UAUUGACUUUUUAUUAUUAGUCACUGUUCAUAAUUUGUUUCAACCAAAAGACAGUACACACAGCAGAAUUCUAAUGCAUCCCAUGUAAAUGUUUACAUCCAUUUUAUUCCUCACUCGCCUCUAAGACUUAUCAUUUAACUUUAAAUAACACAGUGGGAGUUCAUAAAGGAAAGAGUUCAGAAGCUCUUUCCCAUGGGGCCCCCAAAUGGAAAACAAAAACAAAACACACAAAGCGCAACUGGAACCCUGUCGAUGGGACCCACUCACUGAUAUUGCUUGAAAAAGUUAUUCACUUCCAGUUCCAGUUUAGGACACUGUGGUUAAAAUACAUUCACUAGAAAAAAAUAGACACAUUCAAACUCCUUUCCCCUAGUUCUCAUGGCCCAAAUAUUUUCCAAUGCAGAAGAUAAUGAAGUUGAACCUUGAAAGCAGUACUCCCUAACUUCCAAUAACCAUUAGUGUUGGACAGUUUUAAAAGUCUAUUUUCAUAUAUAACAGAUGAUCACUAUGCACAGCCUAAAACUUCCGUGACUGUCCAAACCACCUCAAGGUAACAGCACCAAAGCACUGUGGGAGAAGCUGCUGCAAGGCCAAGUGAGAGGAAAACUAAUUCUGAUCCUAGAAACUAAGGCACGCUGAAGCUUUCAAAGAUCCAAUCAUUUGAAACAGUCUUCACAACCAUCAGUAUCCUAGGCAGUUAUUUGGCUGCUAGUCCUUCAGUAUGGUGCUGAGCUGGUUAGCUACAAAUAUAAGAGAGAAAAUAAAGCCUCUACACAAAGAGGAAUGUUAAGACAAAUUCUAUUCAAGAAAUCCACCAACAUUAUGUUAAUCCUAUCAUGUUUCACAGCAUUAAGUAUCCAUCCAAUGAAAUCAGUCUGCAACAUUUACCCAGUGGAGUAAGUUUUAGCAGAUCUUGCUCAUACACACUAGUAAGACCAGAAACUUUCCCGUGGAGCCUUUAGUUCAACUCCAGUUUGUCAAAUGUUAGGAAUAUUCCAGCAUCUGAUACAGAGCUAGAUUUGACAAGACACUGAAGAUUUUAAGUAAAGGCUUGGUGAAAUGA
rnacentral:lncRNA from 1 species